rnacentral:rRNA from 1 species
CUACGGGUGGCUCCAGUGGGGAAUAUUGCACAAUGGGCGCAAGCCUGAUGCAGCCAUGCCGCGUGUAUGAAGAAGGCCUUCGGGUUGUAAAGUACUUUCAGCGGGGAGGAAGGGAGUAAAGUUAAUACCUUUGCUCAUUGACGUUACCCGCAGAAGAAGCACCGGCUAACUCCGUGCCAGCAGCCGCGGUAAUACGGAGGGUGCAAGCGUUAAUCGGAAUUACUGGGCGUAAAGCGCACGCAGGCGGGUUGUUUAAGUCAGAUGUGAAAUCCCCGGGCUCAACCUGGGAACUGCAUCUGAGACUGGCAAGCUUGAGUCUCGUAGAGGGGGGUAGAAUUCCAGGUGUAGCGGUGAAAUGCGUAGAGAUCUGGAGGAAUACCGGUGGCGAAGGCGGCCCCCUGGACGAAGACUGACGCUCAGGUGCGAAAGCGUGGGGAGCAAACAGGAUUAGAUACCCGGGUAGUC